UCCAGACUCCUACGGGAGGCAGCAGUGGGGGAUAUUGCACAAUGGGGGGAACCCUGAUGCAGCGACGCCGCGUGGGUGAAGGAGCGUUUCGGCGCGUAAAGCCCUCUCGGCAGGGAAGAAGGAGGACGGUACCUGACUAAGAAGCCCCGGCUAACUACGUGCCAGCAGCCGCGGUAAUACGUAGGGGGCAAGCGUUAUCCGGAUUUACUGGGUGUAAAGGGGGCGCAGACGGCAGCGCAAGCCAGGAGUGAAAGCCCGGGGCCCAACCCCGGGACUGCUCUUGGAACUGCGCGGCUGGAGUGCAGGAGGGGCAGGCGGAAUUCCUGGUGUAGCGGUGAAAUGCGUAGAUAUCAGGAGGAACACCGGUGGCGAAGGCGGCCUGCUGGACUGCGACUGACGUUGAGGCCCGAAAGCGUGGGGAGCAAACAGGAUUAGAUACCCGGGUA
rnacentral:rRNA from 1 species